rnacentral:tmRNA from 1 species
GGGGGCGCCAUGGUUUCGACUGAAGGUUGGAAACGUGGGCAGCAUGUGGAGGUUGAUCGGUUGGCCUCCUAAAAAGCCGAUCAAAACAAAUAACUGCAGACUCUAACGAGCUAGCACUUGCUGCUUAAUUGACAGCAACGUUCUCUGUCCCACGCCCGCUAAGGCAGAGAGCGACUACCAGUGGGCUGGCGAGAAGGCCGGUUGUCCGGACCGACUCGCAAGACUAAACAGGGCAAUCGGGAACCAGAACUGGCGGACAGAGGUCCGGAUCCUUAAACACCAACUGACCGCUAAACAUGUAGAAGCUUGCGCGAAAUGCCUUUAGGACAGGGGUUCGACUCCCCUCGCCUCCACCA